rnacentral:lncRNA from 1 species
GCUUCUGAUAAUAUCUUUUAUUUCUUUUCACUACUAGAGAUUGAAUCCAGAUCCUCCACAUUAAAGAAGUGCUGUACUUAUACACUGAGCUACAUCCCCAGACCCCUGUGCUCACUCCCAUUGACAACACCUCUUUCUUCUAUGAUUUUCAGACUAAGAGAUACACUUCCCUCUGCUCGAAGAGGUAAAAAUGGACACUGCAGACGCUCAGUGGAAGUUGUGAAAGAUGAAGUACUGGAUGUGUGGACAGACUCCUCCUGUACUGAUUAUCUCAAAGUCCUUUCACAUCAAGAUGAGCAGAAACAGAAGAGACCUCUACUGAGGAUUAUCCCAUGUCCUUGCCACAGGAAUGUUUACAUCAAGAUUUCUUUGUGCACCCUUUGGAGGAUUCUUUCAUCAUCUGAGCACAAAUAAAGUUGUCAUCUUGAUCUUGUUUCUGAAGGAUGUUUUAACCUCACUAGGCUCUACAAAAUAGAACUACUUGGAUGCUUUGUUCUUACCAACAGGAGGAGAGUCUCCCUGGCACUGUGGUGAGGACCCUCGACACUGGGAGAGUGCCCAGGUUUCCUAGAGCUGCCUGGAAGAAGAGAGGGGAAUUUAUGAGAAGUAACUUCAUUUAAAAUUGCUGACCUCUAUCGCUUCUCGGCCUUUUGGCUAAGAUCAAGUGUAAAAUUGCUGACCUCCUGGACUCAGACUAAUAGUUGUUAGUCUUCAUAUUCUUAUAUUACUAGAACAUAAAGCUAAUAAUGGCUUAUUGUCUUUUCCACCUUGUCAUGAAGUAAUGCUUUAAACUGUGCAUUUAAACAGAAGAAUCCCAUAGUACUUAUGUGACAGAGUUUGCACAUUACAACUACACACACAAAAAAAUAUUUUUCUUCUUUCAAGUAUAAUCACCCAAAAGGCAAUGUGAGAAUGGGAUAGGCUGAUUUUUGGGCACAGAGUAUCCUAUAAAUUUGGAGUGGAGAAUCCUUUUGACAGAAUAGAACAUCAGCACUUGGUAUUUGUGUUGUGAUGCUGAUUGGUGGGAAGCCAGUGAAGGAUAUUCUGAUUUAAAUAUCCAGAAUAAAAACAAACUUUUCUUUUCUCUCUACUGGCUUCAUGUUAGGCUCUGAAGUGAAGUGUUCUUGCUUUGAACACUGUUUUGAAUAAAGCCAUGAGAGAACAAUACCACAUAUCUUUUUCUUUUUAAUAGCAAUGUCAUAUUUUGAAAGGGAUUUUCUAUUAAAAAAUUGACAGCCUAUGCUCAACUUGCUUGAUGAUAAACCUAGAUGUGUUUGAGAAAGUAUUUCACAAAUUUAAAGUUCUGGAAAGAUAUAAGCUCUCAUUUUGCUUCUUCAUUUAAAAUAGUAAACUCACAUGGCAACAGUAGCUUAAUUUUACUCAGUAAAAGCAUAAAUUUGCUUUUAAUCCAUGAAGAGCUCUUAAAUUAGCCUUAUGGAUGUCAUGUUGGAUUAUGCAACACCUUAAGACCCCAGAUGCUGCACAACUGUCUGUUAUUCUAUUCGUUGAAAUCUAGUGUAAUGAAUGCCAUGUCUCUGUAAUAUCUGAGAUUUCUUACUUAAACUGAGCAUAAUAGUGGAGAAAUGCAUUCACAACCUUGUGCUCUGUACAAUCAAAAAGGGGCUUCUGAAGAUUCUUGCACUGAAACAGACAUGUAAGGUCAUAGAUUUGGAGGCCAAUCCUUAGGCCCCAAUCUUUGAAGGGUUCAAGGGUUGCUUAUAAAGCCAAAAUCUACUCCUGGCAUGCUGUCUGUGCUCCAUAAGUUUGUUAACUUUGUGACUGGUCUGAGACCAGGGUAUAAAAUCUGUCUCACAGUGAAUUACAUGCAAAUUGAAGUUUUGUGCAUCAAAUCUUGUUUUGAAUGCAUGGUGCAGACUUGCUAUAUUUAAGAAGUAUGAGUUAAAUUAUUUGUAAAAUAAAUAGCUACAUCUUAAUUUACCUGAUCUAUAAGUUUGAGUUCUUCUUACAUAAUUUUCUUAUAGGUCACCUGAAAGUACAGUAUUAAAAUACCUUAUCAUAAUAUGUGUGCUGAACAUACCUCUUGUUGUUUUUUGUCUUUUCAUGUUCUGUGAAAUCUAAGACCCUUUUUGUGAAGUUUUCUAAAUGUGAAGCUUUGUAAUAAGUUCUUCAAGUACUCAUCAUGGAAGAAAGACAUGCUGUCUUUGUCCUUGAAGUUUCAGCUUUCAUAGUCCAAGAUCUUCAAAGUGGAUUUUUGUACUAAUUCACAUAGAUAGAGUAAGUGUGUAUCUGUACUUAAAUCAGACUAUAAUAGUCACAGGGAAUGAUACAGUAUAAUUAUAAUAUUACAUGGAUAAAUGGGUAGAACAUCCAUAGAUACAAAUAUACAUAAAUAUCAUGUCUCAUGUGGCUCUUGGUGUUCUCAGGGGGAAAGACAGUAAGAGGAUGAGGAAAAUAAAGGUAAGAGUUAAAAGCUGAGGUAAGGUGGAGCCCUCUUUCUUUGGAUGGGAGUAAAGGAACUGCUCAACCACCGAAGGGGUGUUUGCUUAUACAUUUGACAACAUGAGUAUCACAUGACACAGCUUUGCCUAGAAACUGAUUGCUUGGAUUGUUGAAGGGUUUGAUGUUCUCUGGACAGAAGCAGCUUAAUCAUGUGGCUUGCCUCAGGUGCUCUUUGUUCUUGAACCAGCCUUGCCUUGCCCCUUAUAUAUGUGAUCAAUUUCUAGCUUCAGUCACUUCCUACAUCUCUCUCUUUUCUGUUUUGCAGUUUCAAGCAAUAGGUGUUCAAUUGAAGUUGGAAGAGCUAUGUUUGGAGGACUUCUGCAAAUAGUUUUCUUUCUUAUGGUUAUACUUUUCUACUGGAUUUCAAGACCAAGUUAAAGUGAGACCUGUAUUAAGUAAUCUUUUGCUAUCUAAUAAGGUCAGUUAAGUCUCCUCAGGAUUUACUUUGGAACCAUGUAUAUUUUUUCUCUCUUGGUGACUCUUCUUAAGCACAUGAUACAUCAUUGAGUCACUUUCCUCUGUGAUUCUGCAAUCUCCUUGAUCAGAAGAUAGGGGCUCAAUGAAGUUAUAGGAUGUCACAGCAGAGGUUCUCUUACAUCCUGGGUCAUCACUGACUAUGGGGGGCUAGGAGCAAAAUAUUGGCUAUCCACUUAGACCACUGAUUUCUCUAAUUUUGUUCUCCAGAUCUCAGUUGUUGAACAUCCAGAAGAGAAGAUUAAUGGCAUUACAUUGUAAUGGAGGCAGUAAGCUUAAUAUGACUAUCUUAUCUAAAUAUCAAGCACCUUAGAACAUAAAAUGGAACUGCUAUUUUGUACAUGGAUGUCCUAGUAUUUAAAUCCCUACAGAAUAUAAAUGGAUAAGCUACAAAUUUCACACAGAAAAUUAGAAAUCAAAGUCAUACAUAACAUUGCAGCAUGACAAUCAUGAUAAUAUUGUAACAUACUUAAAUUUACAUUUUGAUGUAGCAUAACCUUUUAAUCUAUCUUCUCUAUCUGAUACAUAGGAAACUGUUACCUAAUUUGCUGACAUUUUAUAGGAUGUACUUCACAUUAGCUUUUUGUUAAAGUCAGAGGUCUAAAGCUGAAAGUAAAGUCUAUAACCAUAAAUAAUCCUUGUUUUAUGUUUUGGAUGACCUGUACAUUUAGAGGCAUGAGUGCCUUUAAUACACCAAGAGAUUAACAAUGAUGAAUUGUCACACACAUGUGAAAACUUGUGUCCUAAUUUAGUUUUGUACCAAGAGCAUCUUUUUUUUUUUCUCCUGUACUGGGAACCGAACUCACAACCUUGUGCUUGCCAGGCAGGCACUUUGCCACUGAGCUAAAUCCCCAGGCCCCAAGGGCAUCUUUUGUGAGAAAAUAUUAUUGCAUUUUUUCUAGAAAACUUAACCUUAUGACCAUGACCAAUUUAUUUGGGGUGUUUCACAAGAGACUAUGGAGAUCACUGGUGCCUCAUUCAUGACAAAGAACUGAUUAUUAUUACAGGCAGUUUCUUUCUUAUUCAUCGUUUGGUGUCCUUUCCAAUAACCCCUCCCCACGCUGAGGGAUUUCUGUGUAAUUAUCUUAAUAAUUUUUUGAUUAUCCAAGAGAAAAUCCAAUUUGAUAUCAUAUUGACCAGCUGGUAACUAAGGUGAAAUCAUGCUUUUAAGUUUAUAACCCAAAUUAUAUUAUAAACAAAUGAUCCAAAAACCCAAAAGAAAAGAGGAAAAGAGAAAAACUUGUUCAAGUCAAAUAAAAAAAGAACUGCUAUUCACAGACAUGACAAACAACAGGGAACAAGUACACAACUUAACCACUGUACAGACAAACAUCUUACAAAAUCACAGAGGACUCAAAUAUAUUUGUGACCAAAGUGAAUAUAAUAACUCUUUUACAAUUUUAGGAAAUUUAUAAUUAUAAAUAGACUAGUCAGAUUUUCUUGUUCGUCAGUUAGCAAAGAUCUCUUAUAAGAAGAAUUUGG